UACGAGGGGGGCGAGCGUUGUCCGGAAUUACUGGGCGUAAAGAGCUCGUAGGUGGUUUGUCGCGUUGUCCGUGAAAACUCACAGCUUAACUGUGGGCGUGCGGGCGAUACGGGCAGACUGGAGUACUGCAGGGGAGACUGGAAUUCCUGGUGUAGCGGUGGAAUGCGCAGAUAUCAGGAGGAACACCGGUGGCGAAGGCGGGUCUCUGGGCAGUAACUGACGCUGAGGAGCGAAAGCGUGGGGAGCAAACAGG
rnacentral:rRNA from 1 species